UACGUAGGUGGCAAGCGUUGUCCGGAUUUACUGGGCGUAAAGAGCGCGCAGGCGGUCGUUCAAGUCGCGUGUGAAAGCCCCCGGCUCAACUGGGGAGGGUCACGCGAUACUGACCGACUCGAAGGCAGGAGAGGGAAGUGGAAUUCCCGGUGUAGUGGUGAAAUGCGUAGAUAUCGGGAGGAACACCAGUGGCGAAGGCGAGUCUCUGGGAUGAUGCUGACGCUGAGGCGCGAAAGCCAGGGGAGCAAACGGG
rnacentral:rRNA from 1 species